rnacentral:rRNA from 1 species
CCUACGGGAGGCAGCAGUGAGGAAUAUUGGUCAAUGGCCGGAAGGCUGAACCAGCCAUGCCGCGUGAAGGUCAGUGCCCUAUGGGCGUUAAACUUCUUUUGUGCGGGAGCAAUAAUGGUCACGUGUGGCCAGACGAGAGUACCGUAAGAAUAAGCAUCGGCUAACUCCGUGCCAGCAGCCGCGGUAAUACAGGGGAUGCAAGCGUUAUCCGGAUUUAUUUGGUUUAAAGGGGGCGUAGGCCGUGAGGUAAGUCAGCGGUGAAAUGCCCCCGCUCAACGGGGUGAAGUGCCAUUGAUACUGCCUGGCUGGAAUGCGGAUGCCGUGGGAGGAAUGUGUGGUGUAGCGGUGAAAUGCAUAGAGAUCACACAGAACACCGAUUGCGAAGGCAGCUCACGAAGCCGCGAUUGACGCUGAUGCACGAAAGCGUGGGUAGCAAACAGGAUUAGAUACCCCAGUAGUC